AAUUGGGGAUUUAGAUCCAUACGCAAUUCAGUCAGAAUUGGAUUUUACAGUAAAGUGCAGACCAUCAAGUUACUAUUAUAGAUAUUUAUACAUAUCUGGUGGAAUCUCGGAGUUGCUACUCUAAGCAGCAGAUGAAAGCAUACAAAAGCCUUCAGGCACAUAAAUAUUUUACAGCUGGAUUUGUUUUGAAUGGAGUAAAAAUUGUUAAUGAUUUCCUGAUUUCCAUAUUAUUGUAGGAAAGGUGAAGCAUUUCCAAAAAGCUAAUGCUAAACGACUAAAUGCUUGGGUGGGGUGAUAGCCAGUUCUGAUGACAUAGCAAAUUCACAUUGUAUGCGUAUGGCCGGUAAUAGUGAAGUCUGCAGCAAUCCUAUUUUUAGCUGAGUAUGCCCAGAGCAAGACAGACGAAGAAGAACCCAAUGCAUGUACAUAUGUUACAGCUACAUGGUUUGGAGAUAGCAACAUAUGCAUUCUCUGAUGAAAAACUAAUGAGUUUUGAAACUGUUCAGUCAGAGUGCUUGUUGCGCUCACUAAACGAACUGAAAUAUAAGAAGUCUUUGGCAUUGUGUUGCAGCGAUAUGAAAAUGGUUAUUCAUUUUUAAUUAUAAUGUACUUCUUCAUCAUGAGUAAUUAUGUAUUGGGCUUUUAAAUGUGUAUUUAUUUUUGUAAUUAAUAUCAACUUGUAAUGAUAAUAUACAUUUAUCGUUUAAGAUACGACUAUGUUUUGACUCUAAAAUAAAUGUUUUAAAAAUCGAA
rnacentral:lncRNA from 1 species